GGGUGCGAUCAUACCAGCACUAAUGCACCGGAUCCCAUCAGAACUCCGAAGUUAAGCGUGCUUGGGCGAGAGUAGUACUAGGAUGGGUGACCUCCUGGGAAGUCCUCGUGUUGCACCCCU
rnacentral:rRNA from 1 species